AACGAACGCUGGCGGCAGGCCUAACACAUGCAAGUCGAGCGAAGCCUUCGGGCUUAGCGGCGGACGGGUGAGUAACGCGUGGGAACGUGCCCUUUGGUACGGAAUAGCCCCGGGAAACUGGGAGUAAUACCGUAUGUGGUCGAGAGACGAAAGAUUUAUCGCCAAAGGAUCGGCCCGCGUUGGAUUAGGUAGUUGAUGGGGUAAUGGCCUACCAAGCCGACGAUCCAUAGCUGGUUUGAGAGGAUGAUCAGCCACACUGGACUGAGACACGGCCCAGACUCCUACGGGAGGCAGCAGUGGGGAAUCUUAGACAAUGGGGGAAACCCUGAUCUAGCCAUGCCGCGUGAUCGAUGAAGGCCUUAGGGUUGUAAAGAUCUUUCAGUGGGGAAGAUAAUGACUGUACCCACAGAAGAAGCCCCGGCUAACUCCGUGCCAGCAGCCGCCGUAACAC
rnacentral:rRNA from 1 species